rnacentral:rRNA from 1 species
CCUACGGGUGGCAGCAGUGAGGAAUAUUGCGCAAUGGGCGAAAGCCUGACGCAGCCACGCCGCGUGCAGGAAGACACCCCUCUGGGGCGUAAACUGCUUUUGUGUGAGAAGAAGGCCUACCUCGGGUAGGAUUGACGGUAUCGCACGAAUAAGGACCGGCUAACUCCGUGCCAGCAGCCGCGGUAAUACGGAGGGUCCAAGCGUUGUCCGGAAUCACUGGGUGUAAAGGGUGCGUAGGCGGACUCGUAAGUCAGGGGUGAAAGCCCGCGGCUCAA